CCCUUAGAUGUUCUGGGCCGCACGCGCGCUACACUGAUGCAUUCAACGAGUCUAAAACCUGCUCUGAUAGGGGUGGGUAAUCUUUUGAAUGUGCAUCGUGAUUGGGAUAGAUGAUUGCAAUUUUUCAUCUUCAACGAGGAAUGCCUAGUAAACGCAAGUCAUCAGCUUGCAUUGAUUACGUCCCUGCCCUUUGUACACACCGCCCGUCGCUCCUACCGAUUGAAUGAUCCGAUGAAUAUCAUGGAUUGAGGAUGCAAGCAGGUUCGCCUGUCAUCAUCUUCGAGAAGUGAAGUAAAUCUUAUCAUUUAGAGGAAGGAGAAGUCGUAACA
rnacentral:rRNA from 1 species